rnacentral:rRNA from 1 species
UACGGAGGGAGCGAGCGUUAUUCGGAAUUACUGGGCGUAAAGCGUAUGUAGGCGGUUUUGUAAGACAGAUGUGAAAUCCCAGAGCUUAACUUUGGAACUGCAUUUGUGACUGCAUGACUCGAGUAUUGGAGAGGUUAGCGGAAUUCCUAGUGUAGCAGUGAAAUGCGCAGAUAUUAGGAGGAACACCGAUGGCGUAAGCA